GAUGAACGCUAGCGGCAGGCCUAACACAUGCAAGUCGAGGGGUAGAGUUAGCUUGCUAACUUGAGACCGGCGCACGGGUGCGUAACGCGUAUGCAAUCUACCUUGUACAGAGGGAUAGCCCAGAGAAAUUUGGAUUAAUACCUCAUAGUGUUAUGAUGUGGCAUCACAUUAUAACUAAAGUUCCAACGGUACAAGAUGAGCAUGCGUCCCAUUAGUUAGUUGGUAAGGUAACGGCUUACCAAGACAAUGAUGGGUAGGGGUCCUGAGAGGGAGAUCCCCCACACUGGUACUGAGACACGGACCAGACUCCUACGGGAGGCAGCAGUGAGGAAUAUUGGUCAAUGGGCGCAAGCCUGAACCAGCCAUGCCGCGUGCAGGAUGACGGUCCUAUGGAUUGUAAACUGCUUUUUUACAGGAAGAAACACUCCCUCGUGAGGGAGCUUGACGGUACUGUAGGAAUAAGGAUCGGCUAACUCCGUGCCAGCAGCCGCAGUAAGAC
rnacentral:rRNA from 1 species